rnacentral:lncRNA from 1 species
CCCCACCCUCCACAGAUGACAACUGCAGCCCAGACGACCCAUGGCUAGGACUCUGACAUCCAGCCAUCUCAAUAUUCCAGAGAAGAGGAUGAGUGUGAAGGGUGGUGGCGAUUUUAAACAAGGUGAUCAGGAAGACCUUGUGGAUAACUUCGGGUCUGAGCACACUCCAUCAGGCUGCCGGAUAGUCUCACCAUUACUCCCGUUAUUUGGAACCUCUUCACUGCAACGUGACCUUGUUUAUAGAUGGAGUCUCACUGUGUUGCCCAGGCUGAUCUGGCACUCAGCAAUCCUGUUGCCUUGGCCUCCCAAAGUGCUGGGAUUAC